rfam:Ophiostoma piceae TAMH 11346 chromosome Tnknown scf10, whole genome shotgun sequence.
UUAGCUCUCUUUGCCUUUUGGCUUAGAUCAAGUGUAGUAUCUGUUCUUUUCAGUUUAAUCUCUGAAAUUACUCUACGGAGUAAAAUCUAGAUUAAUCUAAUUUUUGAUCGCCGGCGGACAAUCCUCUGGGCUUGCCCAUGAUUGACUGCCACUGUGUCCUUGGUAUUACACUGUCUCCAAGCGACGCGAAUCUGU